UACGGAGGGUGCAAGCGUUAUCCGGAUUCACUGGGUUUAAAGGGUGCGUAGGUGGGCAGGUAAGUCAGUGGUGAAAUCUCCGGGCUUAACCCGGAAACUGCCGUUGAUACUAUUUGUUUUGAAUAUAGUGGAGGUGAGCGGAAUAUGUCAUGUAGCGGUGAAAUGCUUAGAUAUGACAUAGAACAUCGAUUGCGAAGGCAGCUCGCUACACUAUUAUUGACACUGAGGCACGAAAGCGUGGGGAUCAAACAGG
rnacentral:rRNA from 1 species